CGCCUAAACUCUAAUUUUUAAUAGGGCAUGGCGGAACAGAAUCCCAGUAUGGAAACGGAAGCUCUCCGUUCAGUCAUCCAUACUGGGUCAUUAUUCGAAAGGAUAGUGGGCGAAAGCC
rnacentral:sRNA from 1 species